rnacentral:rRNA from 1 species
UCGAACGAUGAACCUCCUUCGGGAGGGGAUUAGUGGCGAACGGGUGAGUAACACGUGGGCAAUCUGCCCUUCACUCUGGGACAAGCCCUGGAAACGGGGUCUAAUACCGGAUAUGACACGGGGUCGCAUGAUCUCCGUGUGGAAAGCUCCGGCGGCGCUGCUGAACACAUAGGCAGUGUGGAGGGAACGCGGGGAAGUGAAACAUCUCAGUACCCGCAGGAAGAGAAAACAACCGUGAUUCCGGGAGUAGUGGCGAGCGAAACUGGAUGAGGCCAAACCAGUCACGUGUGAUACCCGGCAGGGGUUGCGUGGUUGGGGUUGUGGGAUCUCUCUUUUGCAGUCUGCCGGCUGUGAGGCGAGUCAGAAACCGUUGAUGUAGGCGAAGGACAUGCGAAAGGUCCGGCGUAGAGGGUAAGACCCCCGUAGCUGAAACAUUAGCGGCUCGUUUGAGAGACACCCAAGUAGCACGGGGCCCGAGAAAUCCCGUGUGAAUCUGGCGGGACCACCCGUUAAGCCUAAAUAUUCCCUGGUGACCGAUAGCGGAUAGUACCGUGAGGGAAUGGUGAAAAGUACCGCGGGAGCGGAGUGAAAUAGUACCUGAAACCGUGUGCCUACAAGCCGUGGGAGCGUCGCUGGUGAGUUUACUCAUCAGUCGUGACUGCGUGCCUUUUGAAGAAUGAGCCUGCGAGUUUGCGGUAUGUUGCGAGGUUAACCCGUGUGGGGAAGCCGUAGCGAAAGCGAGUCCGAAUAGGGCGUGGAGUAGCAUGCUCAAGACCCGAAGCGGAGUGAUCUAGCCAUGGGCAGGUUGAAGCGGAGGUAAGACUUCGUGGAGGACCGAACCCACCAGGGUUGAAAACCUGGGGGAUGACCUGUGGUUAGGGGUGAAAGGCCAAUCAAACUCCGUGAUAGCUGGUUCUCCCCGAAAUGCAUUUAGGUGCAGCGUCGUGUGUUUCUUGCCGGAGGUAGAGCACUGGAUAGGCGAUGGGCCCUACCGGGUUACUGACCUUAGCCAAACUCCGAAUGCCGGUAAGUGAGAGCGCGGCAGUGAGACUGUGGGGGAUAAGCUCCAUGGUCGAGAGGGAAACAGCCCAGAGCAUCGACUAAGGCCCCUAAGCGUGUGCUAAGUGGGAAAGGAUGUGGAGUCGCAGAGACAACCAGGAGGUUGGCUUAGAAGCAGCCACCCUUGAAAGAGUGCGUAAUAGCUCACUGGUCAAGUGAUUCCGCGCCGACAAUGUAGCGGGGCUCAAGUACACCGCCGAAGUCGUGUCAUUGCAGCAUGAGGGCUAACGCCUGUUGUGAUGGGUAGGGGAGCGUCGUGUGCCGGGUGAAGCAGCCGUGGAAACGAGUUGUGGACGGUUCACGAGUGAGAAUGCAGGCAUGAGUAGCGAUACAAGAGUGGGAAACUCUUGCGCCGAUUGACUAAGGGUUCCUGGGUCAAGCUGAUCUGCCCAGGGUAAGUCGGGACCUAAGGCGAGGCCGACAGGCGUAGUCGAUGGACAACCGGUUGAUAUUCCGGUACCCGCUUUGAAGCGCCCAAUACUGAAUCAGGCGAUGCUAAGUCCGUGAAGCCGCCCUGGAGAGGGAAUCGUCGAAGGUGGGACUGGCGAUUGGGACGAAGUCGUAACAAGGUAGCCGUACCGGAAGGGGCGGCUGGAUCACCUCCUUUCUAAGGAGCAUCUAGACGGUCGUAAGAUCGUCCAGAGCCACUACGUCGGCGAAUGUUCGACGGUGGUUAGCUCAUGGGUGGAACGUUGACUAUUCGGCACGAUUGGGUUUGAGGUCACUAGUACUGCUUCGGCGUGGAACGUGAGUAUCGAGUCUGGUCGGGUCGGGCACGCUGUUGGGUAUCUGAGGGUGCGGACUACGGUCUGAACCUUCGCGAUGCCGGCCCCGGUGAAGCGCCACGUUGAUGGUGUGUGACGGGUGGCUGGUCGUUGCUUGAGAACUGCACAGUGGACGCGAGCAUCUGUGGCGAGUUUGAUCCUGGCUCAGGACGAACGCUGGCGGCGUGCUUAACACAUGCAAGUCGAACGAUGAACCUCCUUCGGGAGGGGAUUAGUGGCGAACGGGUGAGUAACACGUGGGCAAUCUGCCCUUCACUCUGGGACAAGCCCUGGAAACGGGGUCUAAUACCGGAUAUGACACGGGGUCGCAUGAUCUCCGUGUGGAAAGCUCCGGCGGUGAAGGAUGAGCCCGCGGCCUAUCAGCUUGUUGGUGAGGUAGUGGCUCACCAAGGCGACGACGGGUAGCCGGCCUGAGAGGGCGACCGGCCACACUGGGACUGAGACACGGCCCAGACUCCUACGGGAGGCAGCAGUGGGGAAUAUUGCACAAUGGGCGAAAGCCUGAUGCAGCGACGCCGCGUGAGGGAUGACGGCCUUCGGGUUGUAAACCUCUUUCAGCAGGGAAGAAGCGAGAGGGACGGUACCUGCAGAAGAAGCGCCGGCUAACUACGUGCCAGCAGCCGCGGUAAUACGUAGGGCGCGAGCGUUGUCCGGAAUUAUUGGGCGUAAAGAGCUCGUAGGCGGCUUGUCACGUCGGAUGUGAAAGCCCGGGGCUUAACCCCGGGUCUGCAUUCGAUACGGGCAGGCUAGAGUUCGGUAGGGGAGAUCGGAAUUCCUGGUGUAGCGGUGAAAUGCGCAGAUAUCAGGAGGAACACCGGUGGCGAAGGCGGAUCUCUGGGCCGAUACUGACGCUGAGGAGCGAAAGCGUGGGGAGCGAACAGGAUUAGAUACCCUGGUAGUCCACGCCGU